CCUACGGGUGGCAGCAGUGGGGGAUAUUGCACAAUGGGGGGAACCCUGAUGCAGCGACGCCGCGUGUGGGAAGACGGUCUUCUGGAUUGUAAACCACUGUCCCCAGGGACGAAAAUGACGGUACCUGGGGAGGAAGCUCCGGCUAACUACGUGCCAGCAGCCGCGGUAAUACGGAGGAUGCGAGCGUUAUCCGGAUUUAUUGGGUUUAAAGGGUGCGUAGGCGGGCUGUUAAGUCAGCGGUAAAAGCCCGGGGCUCAACCCCGGCGAGCCGUUGAAACUGGCUGUCUUGAGAUGUCGAGAGGUAUGCGGAAUGCGCAGUGUAGCGGUGAAAUGCUUAGAUAUUGCGCAGAACUCCGAUUGCGAAGGCAGCAUACCGGCGGCGAUCUGACGCUGAGGCACGAAAGCGUGGGUAUCGAACAGGAUUAGAUACCCGGGUAGUC
rnacentral:rRNA from 1 species